GUGAUUCAGGAUAAGACAAAAACAUGGUUUGGAAAAUGGAUUCAUGAUGUACUCGCUCAUUAUAUAUAUUUUUUACAUUUUCAACACAAAACAACACUGUGGCACAGCCCUGCACUGAUUGGACCAGAAGAGCCAGGAGCGGUGGAUUUUGUUUAUAUUGGAGAGAAGUAGCUCCGGCUACAAUGUUCUUCCGCCAGACGCGAGCCCCAAAAGUUACCGACUGCAGCUUUAAGAGACAUAAUGGACUAUGCUCUCUUGUUAUGUGGUUCUCCUUUCACUGUGGGAGAGGCCGUUGAUCUUCCAGAGGCAAGUCAGGUCCCCGUUGAUCUUCCAGAGUCAAGGUCCAGUCAAGUCACCCCUGACCGUCCAGAGUCAGGUCAAGUCACCAUUAACACCCAUGAGUCAAGUAAAACCACAGUUAAACUUCAUGAGUCAAGUCACUGUUAAUCUUUAUGAGCCCAGUCAAAUCACUACCGAUCUUCCAGAACAUCAUCACGUCUCAACAGAUCUUCCAGAGCUUCAUCAUACCACAACAGAUCAUCCAGAGCCUUGUAACGUCUCAGCUGAACUUCCAGAGCCUCGUCACAUCCUGUCUGUUGCACCCAGCAAUGUUCUCUCAGCCUGUUGUGUUGCUGUGAAGGAGACUGUUACCGCUGUGGAACCUCCAGAGGUGGCGGCAACUGCUGCAGAACCUUCGGAGCUGUCAGUAGUAUCCAUCCAUGAACUCUCGUCCUAUCCUGUCAUGGUCACGGAGGCCAUCCACCUACUCGCUGUCUGUCCUGCCACGGAGGCCAUCCAUGAACUCCCCGCCUGUCCCGUCACGGCUAUGGAGGCCGUCUAUGAACUCUCGUUCAUUCCUGUCAUGGCUAUGGAGGCCAUCUGUGAACUUUCAACCUGCCUUAUGGCCACAGAGGCCACCAUUAAUCUGUUUGUUAUCUGUUCCAGUCCCACCUAACCAGACUUGCUCUCCUGUGCCAUCGACUCCACUGUGGUGGUCCUCUGCUCUGCCCUGGUGGGCUUCGGUCUCGUCUGCUCGGCUUUGGUGGUCCUCUGCUCUGCCCUGGUGGGCUCUGGCUCCACCCUGGUGGGCUCCGGCACCACCUGCUCCUGCCCUGGCGGGCUCCUGUUCCCGAGUUAAGCCCACGGCGGGCUCCUGUUCCCCAUGUUAGGCCCAGGAAGGGCUCCUGUUCCCCAGUUAAGCCCAGGAAGGGCUCCAGUUCUGCCUGAUCCACCCUGGCUUCCUCUCUGCUGGCUCUGCCCCGGUCCCCGGCCACUCCUCUUCCACACAGAACUCUUUAUUAAACCACUGCAUAUGGAUCUGAACGUCUCUGACUCCUUGUUACACUUGUCCUGUCAUGGUUGCCACUGCUGUGUCUAGUCAUGACAGGGCCGUCUCUCCAGAGUGCUUAUGUAACCAAGCAUAGCUGCAGAAACAUACUUUAUUUAGGGGCUGCUGGGGACGGGGCUUGAUGUUGCAGUGCGGGGCAAUGGUGGGGGAUUUUUGACAAAAUCCUAAUAUUGAUCAGAUCAAACUCUUAUAGAUUAACAUUCAAAUGAAGGCAGAGUUAAAUGCGAACCAAUAUUUGCUUU
ensembl:lncRNA